ACUAACAAGGAUUCCCUCAGUAGCGGCGAGCGAAGCGGGAAGAGCCCGGUGUGAAAAUCUCUUCGGAGAAUUGUAUUUGAGUGUCCUUUGGGUGGUCAGUGCGAGCAAGUUGCUUGGGAUAGCACGCCAUGGAGGGUGAGAGCCCCGUCCAUCUCGCACAGGAUCCAUCCGCACAAGGGCGCUUCAACCGAGUCGGGUAGCUUGGGAAUGCUGCUCUAAUUGGUGGUAAAUCUCAUCAAAGGCUAAAUAACGGUGGGAGACCGAUAGCGAACAAGUACCGUGAGGGAAAGAUGGAAAGAACUUUGAAAAGAGAGUGAAAAGAACUUGAAACCGUCACGGGGGAAGCGGAUUGCGUGAGUGGUGGUGUCGCUUGUUCAGCGCCUUUGGCGUGCAUUCUGGCGAUACCUUGUCGUCGUGGCUGGUUGGUACGUGAUUUUGACGUACCGGCUGGUGAGGGCUCCCUAUGGUGAGGACGACGACAAAAUGACGCAAUACGACCCGUCUUGAAACACGGACCAAGGAGUCUAGCACGGCUGCGAGUCGAAGGGUGUAAAACCCAAGGGCGCAGUGAAAGCGAAUUUAAAGCAAAUUGGGGAGGCGUGGCGUUUUUAACAAAAUGUCCUACCUUGAGCAUUUGUGCUGGGACCCGAAAGAUGGUGAACUAUGCCGGAGUAGGGCAAAGCCAGAGGAAACUCUGGUGGAGGCUCGUAGCGAUGCUGACGUGCAAAUCGCUCGUCGAACUUGGGUAUAGGGGCGAAAGACUAAUCGAACCAUCUAGUAGCUGGUUCCCUCCGAAGUUUCUCUCAGGAUAGCGGGCCGACAUAUGUUGUUUUGUGCGGUAAAGCGAAUGAUUAGUGCAUUUGGGGUCUGAUAGACUUCGGGCGAUUCUCAAACUUUAAAUGCGCAAGGGGGUGGCUGCUUAAUUGAGCCUACUCUUUGAAAAACGUCGGCCCUGUGGGCCACUUUUGGUAAGCAGAACUGGCGAUAAGGGAUGAACCUUAAGCGCGGUUAAGGCGCCGCAUUGCCCGCUUAUAGACCCCACAAAAGGUGUUGAUUCAUUUAGACAGCAGGACGGUGGCCAUGGAAGUCGGAAUCCGCUAAGGAGUGUGUAACAACUCACCUGCCGAAUGAAUUAGCCCUGAAAAUGGAUGGCGCUGAAGCGGGCAGCCGACACCGCGCCGUUCCGGCGAGACGAUGCCGGGAUGAGUAGGAGGGCGUGGCGGUCAGUGACGCAGGCGAGGGUGCAGACCCCGCUGAAACGGCCGCUAGUGCAGAUCUUGGUGGUAGUAGCAAAUAUUCAAGCGAGAUCCUUGAAGGGCGAAGCGGGGAAGGGUUCCACGCAAACAUUGAUUGGGCGUGGGUGAGUCGUUCCUAAGCCGAGUGGCAAUUGCUAAGUAGCGGCGAAAGGGAAGCGGGUUAAAAUUCCCGCACACGGAUAUGGAGGCGGCGACGCAAGCAGAGGCAAAUACGCUGGCGAGGGCGCUGGGCAGAGUUGUCUUUUCUGUUUGACCGGCAUCGCGCUGUGUGGAAUCCGCUUAUCGGGAGAAACACGCGCGGGGAGGGGCAGAGCGUCAGGUCUUUUCUGGCGUCCGGCUCGCCCUCGACGGCCCUUGAAAAUUUGCCCGCGAACUUAAAUUUCAUGCUGUGACGUACCGAUAACCGCAUCAGGUCCCCAAGGUGAACAGCCUCUGCUCAAUAUGAACAAUGCAGGUAAGGGAAGUCGGCAAAAUAGACCCGUAACUUUGGGAAAAGGGUUGGCUCUAGUGGAGCGGGGGUUUUCAAAGGGAGCUCACCUGUGCUUGAUGCAGGGCGGAUAUGGCUAGCUCACGCUGGACGUGUCUGCUCGGUGCCUUGCGCGGGGGACGUUUCUCGCCCUCAGCAUGCUCCAGACUAGAACUGCAACGGGCAAAGGGAAUCCGACUGUUUAAUUAAAACAAAGCAUUGCGAAGGCCGUGGCCGGUGUUGACGCAAUGUGAUUUCUGCUCAGUGCUCUGAAUGUCAAAGUGAAGAGAUUCAAUCAAGCGCGGGUAAACAGCGGGAGUAACUAUGACUCUCUUAAGGUAGCCAAAUGCCUCGUCAUCUAAUUAGUGACGCGCAUGAAUGGAUUAACGAGAUUCCUACUGUCCCUAUCUGCUUCUAGCGAAACCACAGCCGAGGGAACGGGCUCGGCGGAAUCGGCGGGGAAAGAAGACCCUGUUGAGCUUGACUCUAUUCUAAUUUUGUGAAGCAAGUUAGGAGGUGUAGCAUAGGUGGGAGCUUCGGCGCCAGUGAAAUACCACUACUCUUAAUCUUGCUUUACUUAGGGCGUGAGGCUGUACGGCCGCAAGGCUUGCUUUUUGCACCAAGCGCACAAUCUUGUAUUGUGCGUGAACAGCGCGCCCAACACAUUUAGGAGGGGAGUUUGGCUGGGGCGGCACAUCUUCUACAAGACAACGAAGGUGUCCAAAGAUAAGCUCAGUGAGAACAGAAAUCUCACGUAGCGCAAAAGGGUAAAAGCUUGUUUGAUUUUGAUUUUCAGUGUGAGUUGAAAACGCGAAAGCGUGGCCUAUCGAUCCUUUCACGAUUCGAGAUUUGAAGCGAGAGGUGUCAGAAAAGUUACCACAGGGAUAACUGGCUUGUGGCGGCCAAGCGUUCAUAGCGACGUCGCUUUUUGAUCAUUCGAU
rnacentral:rRNA from 1 species